rnacentral:rRNA from 1 species
UACGGAGGGGACUAGCGUUGUUCGGAAUUACUGGGCGUAAAGCGCACGUAGGCGGAUUUGUAAGUCAGACGUGAAAUCCCUCGGCUUAACCGAGGAACUGCCUGUCAGACUGGAUUGCUUGAGUCCGGGAGAGGCGAGUGGAAUUCCCAGUGUAGCGGUGAAAUGCGUAGAUAUUGGGAGGAACACCAGUGGCGAAGGCGGCUCGCUGGACCGGAACUGACGCUGAGGCGCGAAAGCGUGGGGAGCAAACAGG